rnacentral:rRNA from 1 species
UACGUAGGGCGCAAGCGUUAUCCGGAAUUAUUGGGCGUAAAGGAGCUCGUAGGCGGUUUGUCGCGUCGUGCCGUCGAAAGUCCGGGGCUCAACUCCGGAUCUGCGGGUGGGUACGGGCAGACGUAGGAGUGAUGUAGGGGAGACGUGGAAUUCCUGGUGUAGCGGUGAAAUGCGCAGAUAUCAGGAGGAACACCGAUGGCGAAGGCAGGUCUCUGGGCCGAAUGACUGACGCUGGAGGAGCGAAAGCGUGGGGAGCAAACAGG